CUAAUUAACUGCUUUGAUUAUUUUUCAGAAGAAAUUGAAGAGUGCAAAUGAAUACAAAUCAGUAGAUAAACAAACCAAAUACAGUUAUCGAAACCAGUAAGACUGGUCAAGAGGCAGAUCCCUUAGUAGGCUUGGAAUGGACUAGCAAAAUGGUUUAUGAUCUGAUUCCUUUUCCAUGUCACAAAUAACUUGAAAUUUCCCUUCAGGCCAAAGUUCCUCUCAGUGUAGGUAUGGUGGAUCCAGAAUUUCUUAUCCCCAUUUGACAAAUGGCAUCUGUGGUUGAAAGAUAAUUCCUAGCAGCUGGUUCGGAUUUUUGGGAGCUGAAGUCCAAAACACCUGGAUGAACAGAGUUUGAGAAACACUGCUUUGAAUUGGUGCCUAAAGUUCUCUGAGUCUUUCACUUUCUGUGGUGGAUUCAACAAAACAAGAAGAGACCUGAAAAAAGAAAUAGCAACGAUCAACGUUUUGCAUGAGGAGAGUUGGACACACGCUAGGGUCAUUUCUGCUCUAUUUGCCUCAGAAUAAAGAGACCUUCAUGCUACAGUUGCUGGAAGCAACAUUUUACUGGUAUUAGAAACCUGGUGGCCUUGUUAAGUUAGAAUGCAAGUCAAAGGAUCACUGGAAAUUUCUGGAAAAAGUUAUUCUAUGACAGUUUUGCCAUGCAGUAUACGGAAGUGAUCAGGAACAGAAAAGGCAGUGCAAUUUUCUCUUUUGUGCACUGCCAACUGAUCUCUGAUUAUGGUACAAUACAGACAUGUGCCAAUAGGUGAACAAACUAUGGCACAUCCAGACUAGAAAGACCAAAAAGUUUCGGUUCUUUCAAAGUUUUGGAGCUCCAUUGAUCUUUUGUUUAUCCUUGUGUAUUUUCUAUCUGCUCUUAGUAUGACAAGAGAUAUUCUACACUAUAUCCCCAGGUUAGAACAAAAUCUGGGACUUUUCAAUUAGUCUAGAUACACCCUAAUAAUCCACAGCCCUAUCCUACAGCAUGUGAAGUAACACUAGUUCUGCCAUGGGGUCCAACUGAACAAGUGUGGUGCAAGAAGCCAACAUAGUGUAAGCCAUGAUAGUUUGAGUAGGAGACUGAGGGACCAGGAUUCAAAGUCUCCCUUAACAAUGGAAACCUGUUGGAUGACCUUGGGAAAGUCACACUCGCAGUCUUAGAAGUCAAAGGGAAACACCCUUGCCAAGAAAACUCUACGAUUGCCUUGACUUUGGUUCACCCUACAUCAAAAGUGACUGGAAGACACAUGACAACAAAAAUGCUCAUCAUUUUCAGGAACUAUAGUCUGCAAUACUUGCAAGUUUUUCAAGUAAAGAGAUGGAAGAGUUUAAGUGCAACUGCUGAAGACAGCAUCUGUCCCUCAUCAUUUUCAGAGGAAGUUCUCAAGUUCAACUUUCUCUGCACAGUUCCUUGCAAGGAAACCACACAAACAUACAGUUUCUUGUUGUUUUUUCCUCCUAAAAAGUUGCUUCAUCCUUUUUGUGUUGCAAAGUUAUGUCAGAAUGAUUGCAUCCAAGACAUCAUAUUCACAUGUG